GGGGAAUAGUUAAAUGGUAUAACUCUGGUCUCCAAAACCAUCGUUGAGAGUUCGAUUCUUUCUUCCCC
rnacentral:tRNA from 1 species